GUGUAAUGGUUGAGAUUGUAAUAACCUAAUAACGUUAACAUUCGGAAUUUGUGUUGCCAUGUAGAAAAAUAAUGCUAAUUUUUGUGGCAUUUUCUUUGAGAUGGCAACAUCGCCUUUUAAAGUAAUAAAGACCUACGAUUUCAAUAUGCUCAAUUUAAAAAGUGCUUAUAAAUUUGCUAUAAAAAAAGCUGUACAAUGAGCAUCUGCUGUUAGUGUGGCGAGUGUACGACGCAUUGUUGUUCGUGUGUGUACAUAGAAAGUGCGAGCAUCAGGCGUUGGCUUGCCAGCGAUGUCUGACAUUACAAUAACCAAAUUAACUCAUGGACGAAUUUCCAUUCCAAACAAUGUCAUCACGAACGGCAUCGAAAACAGCACAGAUAGUGACACGCUGAGUGGUACUCUGACUCAUCUUAUGGAAGAGCAUCGCACGCGGGUGGGAGCGGUAACUGGGCCAGAAACAGCGACCACGUCUACAGACGGUCUAAUAUCGAAUGGAGCAGAGCGACUGCGACUUCAAGGCAGUCGGCUUCAGACCUCUCGCUUUGCUUGCUUUCGAUGUUGCGGAAACAUUAUCACUUAUCUAGUAAGGCUGCGUAGUACACCUGAGGAGCUGGAACAGCGUUACAAGUCCAAAGAGAUUGAUAAGUUCCUGGAAAAAGAAAAACACGCAUUUCGGCGUCAGGUCAAACUGCUGCUUUUAGGUGCUGGGGAAUCUGGAAAGUCAACUUUUCUUAAACAAAUGCGAAUCAUUCAUGGGGUUCACUUUGACUAUGAACUGCUGCUGGAAUACCAAAGUGUCAUAUACCAAAACGUUAUAAGAGGUAUGCAAGUUUUAUUGGACGCUCGCGAAAAGCUAAACAUUGCGUGGGGAAGUGACGGCAGAGAACAGGAUGCUUAUGAUGCCAAAUUAAUGGAAUGUAAUUCUCUAGACUUACCCAAGUUUAUGGAGUAUGCACCACAAAUAAGCCGACUGUGGCAAGAUCGCGGCAUUAGAAGAGCUUUUGAAAGAAGACGCGAAUUUCAAAUUCUAUUUCCUAGACGAGAUCGAACGGCUAGCUACACCAGAUUAUGUGCCAACGCAUAAAGACAUAUUACAUUGCCGGAAGGCAACUAAAGGGGUUUAUGAGUUUUGUGUGAAAGUUCAGAACAUUCCAUUUGUGUUCGUCGAUGUUGGUGGACAGCGAACUCAACGUCAAAAAUGGACUAGAUGUUUUGAUAGCUCCGUAACGUCUAUUA
rnacentral:misc_RNA from 1 species